rnacentral:rRNA from 1 species
AUUGAACGCUGGCGGAAUGCUUUACACAUGCAAGUCGAACGGCAGCACGGACUUCGGUCUGGUGGCGAGUGGCGAACGGGUGAGUAAUGUAUCGGAACGUGCCCAGUCGUGGGGGAUAACGUAGUGAAAAUUACGCUAAUACCGCAUACGAUCUAUGGAUGAAAGCGGGGGAUCGCAAGACCUCGCGCGAUUGGAGCGGCCGAUAUCAGAUUAGGUAGUUGGUGGGGUAAAGGCCCACCAAGCCAACGAUCUGUAGCUGGUCUGAGAGGACGACCAGCCACACUGGAACUGAGACACGGUCCAGACUCCUACGGGAGGCAGCAGUGGGGAAUUUUGGACAAUGGGCGAAAGCCUGAUCCAGCCAUUCCGCGUGCAGGAUGAAGGCCCUCGGGUUGUAAACUCCUUUUGCGGGGGAAAAAUGGCAGCGUGAAGAACGCCGUUCGAUGGUACUCCGCGAAUAAGCCACGGCUAACUUCGUGCCAGCCGCCGCGGUAA